CCCCUAGAUGUUCUGGGCCGCACGCGCGCUACACUGAACAGUUCAACAAGUCUUAACCUUGGCCGAUAGGUCUGGGUAAUCUUUGAACGCUGUUCGUGAUUGGGAUAGACCUUUGCAAUUAUGGGUCUUCAACGAGGAAUUCCUAGUAAACGCAAGUCAUCAGCUUGCAUUGAUUACGUCCCUGCCCUUUGUACACACCGCCCGUCGCACCUACCGAUUGAAUGGUCCGGUGAAUAAUUCGGACUGCAGCAGUGUUCAGUUCCUGAACGUUGCAGCGGAAAGUUUAGUGAACCUUAUCACUUAGAGGAAGGAGAANUCGUAACA
rnacentral:rRNA from 1 species